rnacentral:rRNA from 1 species
GAUCCUGGCUCAGGACGAACGCUGGCGGCAUGCUUCAUACAUGCAAGUCGAACGAUAAGGUCUCUUCGGAGAUACAUAAGUGGCGGACGGGUGAGUAAUAUGUAGGAAAUCUGCCCUUGAGAGGGGGACAACAGAGGGAAACUUCUGCUAAUACCCCAUAUGAGCGUACCUGAAAUGGUAUUCUUGAAAACUCCGGUGCUCAAGGAUGAGCCUGCAUCUGAUUAGCUUGUUGGCGGUGUAAUGGACCACCAAGGCGACGAUCAGUAGCUGGUUUGAGAGGAUGAUCAGCCACAAUGGGACUGAGACACGGCCCAUACUCCUACGGGAGGCAGCAGUAGGGAAUUUUGCGCAAUGGGCGAAAGCCUGACGCAGCAAUGCCGCGUGAACGUAGAAGCCCUUCGGGGUGUAAAGUUCUGUCAGUGGGGACGAAUUUUGACGGUACCCACAGAGGAAGCACCGGCUAACUCCGUGCCAGCCGCUGC